rnacentral:rRNA from 1 species
UACGUAGGGGGCGAGCGUUGUCCGGAAUUAUUGGGCGUAAAGGGCGUGUAGGCGGCCGAUCAAGUCAGGUGUGAAAUUCCAGGGCCCAACCCUGGACGUGCACUUGAAACUGGUUGGCUUGAGUGCAGAAGAGGAAAGUGGAAUUCCCAGUGUAGCGGUGAAAUGCGUAGAUAUUGGGAGGAACACCAGUGGCGAAGGCGACUUUCUGGUCUGUAACUGACGCUGAGGCGCGAAAGCUAGGGGAGCAAACAGGAUUAGAUACCCCCGUAGUCC